rnacentral:tRNA from 1 species
UCCCUGGUGGCUCCAUUGAUAAAAGAAUCUGUCUGCAAUGCAGGAGACCCAGGUUCAAUCCCUGGCUGGGGAA